ACACUUUUUUAUCUUUUUUAACACUUUAAGACACAAUCCGCUGGAGGGACACUUUCCUUGAAUCUGAGAGCUGUUUUGGACAGAAAUGCCCUUGCUCAGAAGAAACGGAAGAUGCGCUUAUGUUUGGAUCUAAUCGAGCUUUCACCCAUGGUGAUACCAAGCUCAAACCACUGCAGCUUCACCUAUAUAAUGGAUGAGACUUCGGAAAUGAGUUGAGCAAGGCGAGGAGUCAACUUGAGCAGCAGAUCUCGUGGUGGCGGAGGAUUUCGACGAGCUCGAACCCCCAUGGCUUCACUGAGCCACCGAGCUCACCGAUGCGAUGUUGAGCUCGAAAUCCAUGUUGAGGCGUUUUCUCUUUCUUUUUUUUAUCCGUGGAUUCUGUCAUGAUUCGUAAUAAAAAGAUAGAAAAACAGACAAAAAAUAGAGAUAUACAAAGGAAUAAAAAAAAGUUGAGAAGAAGGAAACAAGCCAAGAGGAUUAAGAAUUAAUUGUUUCUUCGAUUUGAUGAAGGAGAGUGUAUCGUGAUUAUUGGAUUUGAGUAUGCGUUAUGAAAAUAAAUAAAAAGAAAAAUAGAGUUUAAUAAAAGUGAAUCUGAACUUGAAUUUUGAAAUUCUAAAAUAAAUAAAUUUUUGAAUGAUUUAAUAAAAAGACUUUUGGAUUUAGUUAGAGUUGUUAGUUAAUAUCUUUCUAGUUAUUGUUAGAUAAGGUUGAGGGCAUCUAAGACAUUGCACAUAGAAAUUGUGUGCCUCAAGCAACAAGUGUCUAAAUAUGCAAUUCCAAAGACAUAAUGUGUCCUAGAAUGUAAAAAAAUC